GAUUUGGUCGGGUGGUCCGCUUAACGGCGUGUUACUGCUUGGCUGGGUCUUGUCUCUUGGUGAACCGUAGUGCCCUUUAUUGAGUGCUGCGGGGAACCAGGACUUUUACCUUGAGAAAAUUAGAGUGUUCAAAGCAGUCGUUUUACGACCGAAUAGCUUAGCAUGGAAUAAUGGAAUAGGACUUUGGUUCUAUUUUGUUGGUUUCUAGGACCAGAGUA
rnacentral:rRNA from 1 species